rnacentral:rRNA from 1 species
UACGUAGGGCGCAAGCGUUGUCCGGAAUUAUUGGGCGUAAAGAGCUCGUAGGCGGUUUGUCGCGUCUGUCGUGAAAGCCCACGGCUUAACCGUGGGUCUGCGGUGGAUACGGGCAGACUAGAGGCAGGUAGGGGAGAAUGGAAUUCCCGGUGUAGCGGUGAAAUGCGCAGAUAUCGGGAAGAACACCCGUGGCGAAGGCGGUUCUCUGGGACGGUACUGACGCUGAGACGCGAAAGCGUGGGGAGCGAACAGG